AAACAUCAAAAUAAGUGAAUCGUAGUAAAGAGAAUUAAGUUAAU
rnacentral:guide_RNA from 1 species